UAACUUGGCCCCGCGAGCACGAAACCUGCUAAUUUUUUCAAUGGUACAAGACACCCCAGCCGGCUCCGAGCUCUCUCCAGAAAAAAACAAUAACUUGAACAACGAAACAGAAGAUUUCUUCUUUUACUCUCCCGCGCCUUCGCUUGGGAAGCUGUCCAUCGCCAUCUAGAAGUUAAGAUAGAAGAAUCUCCCCUCAUCGCGCCCAUUCACAAAGGGAGCGAGAGAAGGAAACUGCUCCUCAAUUCGUUACCGUGUUUCAAGAAAGACCUUUAUGGAAGAUAACAAGUCAUUUCCGGAAGAGGAGAUUUCCACGAGGAAGGAAACUAGUCAGCCUGCCGAGGUGACAGGGAAUGGAUCAAUAAAUGGAGGUGAGAAUUUUAACAUCGCAAAUUACUAAUUAGAGCAUGUAUUCUUUUCCUGCUAUAUAUCCAUUUGAUAAAGCGGUUCAUAGUUUAAAUUGGAAUCAAUUGGAUUA